UGGGGAAUAUUGGGCAAUGGGCGCAAGCCUGACCCAGCAACGCCGCGUGAAGGAAGAAGGCUUUCGGGUUGUAAACUUCUUUUAAGAGGGAAGAGCAGAAGACGGUACCUCUUGAAUAAGCCACGGCUAACUACGUGCCAGCAGCCGCGGUAAUACGUAGGUGGCAAGCGUUGUCCGGAUUUACUGGGUGUAAAGGGCGUGCAGCCGGGAAGACAAGUCAGAUGUGAAAUCCCGCGGCUCAACCGCGGAACUGCAUUUGAAACUGUUUUUCUUGAGUACCGGAGAGGUCAUCGGAAUUCCUUG
rnacentral:rRNA from 1 species